UACGAAGGGGGCUAGCGUUGCUCGGAAUCACUGGGCGUAAAGCGCACGUAGGCGGCUUUCUAAGUCAGGGGUGAAAUCCUGGAGCUCAACUCCAGAACUGCCUUUGAUACUGGAGAGCUCGAGUCCGGAAGAGGUGAGUGGAACUCCGAGUGUAGAGGUGAAAUUCGUAGAUAUUCGGAAGAACACCAGUGGCGAAGGCGGCUCACUGGUCCGGUACUGACGCUGAGGUGCGAAAGCCAGGGGAGCGAACGGG
rnacentral:rRNA from 1 species